UAGAAUGGGGUAUACGUCACAGAACGAAAAU
rnacentral:piRNA from 1 species